rnacentral:tRNA from 1 species
GCCUGGGUGGCUCAGUUGGUAGAGCAUCUGACUUUGGCUCGGGUCAUGAUCUCACGGUUUGUGAGUUUGAGCCCCGCGUCAGGCU